rnacentral:tRNA from 1 species
GGCCCCAUAGUUCAAGGGAUAGAAUAGUUGUUUCCUAAACAAUAGAUACUGGUUCGAGUCCAGUUGGGGCUACUA